CAAAGACUUCCUUCUUUGAACUCCCAACAUCUAGAAAAAUGACUUGGAAAGCUUUGCUUUUCUCCUCUCUUUGCCAGUAGGUAAGCUGGUUUUCCACGUCUGUUCUGCCUGGUUCCACGUUCCAGUGAUGCUGAGCUGUGUUUGUGCACACUGGAUGCUCACACUUAGUGCGCUUUGCCAGGAAUCCAGUCCUGAAUGUGUGAAAUACUCUUUGGGAAAUUGAACUCUAUCAGUACAUUUGCAGAAAGCAGAGAGGAUGAGAAUUGAAAGUAACAUCUAAGUGUGCAUUUGUUGGCAGAGCCCCUGGUGAAUUGUCUGUGUUGGACAGAUGAUCCCAUUCUUGGGUAUGGGAGCAAAGAAGUUUGUUUCACAAACUGACUGUUGGUGACUGCAGGAAGCAAUAAGUAGCAAGUUUAGUUGUUACAGACAUGGAGAGCUUCUUGUAAAUUUGCAUUUAUCGAGUGGAGGAUAUGCUGUAUUUGUCCAGUUUCCAACCAGGCAUGUGGUCAUCCUUCUAUUGCAACUAUAUAUGUAGUUGUCAUAUGCAUGACAAUAAAAGCUUUUUAAGCAAUGUUAGCACUAGAAUCCAUUGGGAAGUCUUGCUUCCUACACUCCAUCUUUUCAUUUAAAUGUCCUCUUUUGCACUGUGUUGCAAAUAGAAUUAGUUAUUUUGGUUACUCUUAUGGGACUGUUUAAGUUUUGGUCCAUCUUCUAAAAGUGAAUGUGAGCAUUGGGCUCCCAGAUUAUAACACUGACAUAAAUUACUUUGUGUAGCCUGUAAGAUAGCUGUAGUUGUUUAACGUUGACUUGUGUUGUGGCUUUAAAACUGCUACAUGUUUUUGUUUUAAUGUUGUUGGUGCAGAAAGCACCAGUACAAACAGCUGCUGUACAGAUAGCUCCCUGAAAGCACUGUAAGCCUCAAAAUACUGCAGUACAUCAUUCACCCAGAAGAGGGAAUUCUGCAGCUGGGUCUCAUGUCCUGCACAGAAGGAUUCUCCCUCGCCCUCUUAGUGAUUAACACUGAGGAACAAUAAUGACAAAUAAUGAGUAGUUUAUUCUGGCAGUCUUCAUACAGUGUAACCUUGUGUAAAAUGUAGAGAGUGAAUAAUAACAAAAAUUGUCAAGCACUCAAAAGUGGUUGUACAGAGCUGAUUUUGAAGUUUGACUGCAGCAUACCCUGGCAUUACAGAAGCUUGGUCAGAUGCUGUAGCAUCCUUUGCUGUAGGUUUCCAGUCCUGUGAAAUGCAAAUAGCAAACUGAAGGAGAGCCUUCCUGUGCAUUGCUUCCUGCCUGGCUCCAACCUAGUUUGUUUGUGUGCAUGUUGAGAGGAGGGUGUAUGUGUGCAUUUCCAUACGCACAGAGCUCUUUGUCUUAGGCUUUGUUUGACUUCUUUAUUUGUGCAUUUCUCCACUUUGAGCUUUCUCUUUGAUACUUUUUGCCUGCUAACUUGUCAGCAAAGCACACUGGGAUGGUUUCACACAGCAGCCCACCUUGUUGGCACGUUCAGUCGCCUCAAUGGCUAAUUUACUCAGAUAAUACCUGGAAAAUAUUAGAAUGGGCACCUUCAGGUGUAGCAUUCCCAGCCCCCAGACCUGUUCUCAGUGCAGUUUUUGCUCUUUGCUGCUGGGGACAAAUGUCCACAUUCUCCACAGGUUCUCAGAACCAGGAGUAGAAGUUCUUGUUUCAGUUCAGCCCUUUCCUUCUGCCUCUAUGUUACAUGCACUGAUGCUCACAGCUUUUUUUUAGUGUAUAUUAUUGUAUUUAACUGGUUAAAGCAAGCCAACUUAAAGCACUGUACCUUAGCUGUAAACAGCAUAACAGUAUGAAUGUUAUAAUACUACUUUUUUACUUAGGAACACUUUUAGGAAGAGCAGCGCUGCGACCUAGCUCGUUAAUCUGUGGGUAGAGUAGGACACUUGGGAAACUUCACGUGUUCUAACUGAAAAUCCUUUUUGUUCUGUAUCUCAUACUUAGCAGUAUUUGCAGUUUUCUUUAAAAAGAAGCAAGAUUGUUAGUUAGGAGUAGACUAGUUGUAACUAUACUCAGUUAGGAGUAGACUAGGGCAUCUUUAGAUUUAAAAACAGUAGUAGCAUCACUGAUCCUGUUGAAUGUGAACCACUGACUUAAAAAUGCUCUGAUUUUUUGCUCUGAGACACUGUAGCUGCAUCUUGAAUGUAGGAAAGAAACAAUGGAGGGCAUUUAGCAAUUAGGUGUACUGAGAGAAUUUGCAGGUUCUGUAUUGUAGCAUUGUUUAGGCCACUGUUCUAAAGGCAUGGCUUGAUCAAAAUUUCUUUGUCUCACUAAGAGUGCUGAAUACCCAGUGCAGGUUUUGGGCAUCUCAGGGACAGACCAGCUGGAGUAAAGCCACAUGCCUCCAUUAAACCUAGUGAUGUUACACUGUUGUGCUUCAGCUGAGGAUCUGGCCUUUACUGUUCGAAGGUAUGAAUGUAUUUAAAAUUUUACUUCUCAUCAAUACUACCCUGUUUACUGUGCUGUAAAUUCUUCUUAUUAUUGUAUAUAGUUGUUGCACUGCUUCGUUUGCAACUUGUUUGCAGGUUUCAGCAUAAAUCCUUUUCUCCUGAAGGGUGAGUGGGAGCUCAUAUUGUGAGUUUGUUGCAUUCUGAGUCUUUCAAGUUUACAUCCCUCAGAAGCCAUUUUGUCACCUACCAAUGUUGUAAUCCUUGAGUACCUCCAGCCAUCUUCUCUUUAUAGGGUUUUUAUAGUUAAACAGAAUGGGUUUUUAUUUUUGUAGCUUGUAACUUCAACUGUAUAGUAGUUACUCCUAUUCAGUAAUGAGUGGUCAGAAUACUGUACCAAUGUGACUGAAAAGCUGUAACUGUAAUAAUAACUACUUGCAAGAAAAUACCAGCAUGUUAAAAGUUUAAAAAAGAGAAGUUAUUCUUUAGCUUGGAAAUACUGUGAUACGGUGACUUGGAACUUGUAUUGGAUGUAUGUGCAUAUUCUGAAGUUGCUUUAAAUAAGGAAAGAAAAGAAUAAAACCUGAGCUUAGCAUGCAAAUAAUAGGCCAAAAGGGGAAACUGUAAACAGUUUUAUCAACCAAGACAGACAUUUAGGACUGGGUGGGUUCUAUGUUUCUCUUAUAUAGCGCUGAAGCAGGACUGGUCACGGAGUAGUUGUUUCCUUGUGGUGCAGUUUAAGUGUCCAACCACAACAAAAGCCACCUGCACCGUUCCCUCUGUGUUCCCAGAAACAGAUCUCAGAGCAAAACUGAAUGCUCGUUGCUGUGAGCUGCGUGAGAUCGUACAGCAUAGCGCUGAGCCUCCAAUGCAGGCUCUGAAGGCGAGUUGUUAUGUGGUUCUUGGCAUCGCACUGCUCUUAAAUGCCACAUGCUUCUUCCUUUGGUGUUAAAAAGGAGACAAGUGACAAAGGAGGGGGGUGAGGAGCGGGACUGCAGCCCUCACUGCCAGCAGCUGGGCUGUCGGUGUGAUUGUAGAGCUUCCCAUCACGGUCUACUUUGUUUGCAAUUCUUGUUGGCUUAAUCCAGUAUUUCUGAAGCAGGUGGUGCUGGCGUUGACCUGUGAGCUGGUGCCAGCUUCACUCAAAUCAUACUUAAGGGCAAUACAUAUUAUUUGCCUGGGCGAGGUUCUGCCUAUUAAAACCACACCUCGGUGCAGUCACAGCGCUGUCAGGGCCUGAACCCUGCAUUAACAGAAAUGAAAGUGAAACCUUUUGUCUGCAGUCAGCUGUAUUGCAGUCUGUUACUGAGACGUGAGCUCCUGAAGGCUCUUUGGAGGAAGGGCAGCUCCGUCUCCUUCACACAGCCUUGCAACUACAGGUUUUCAAAGGACUGACUCUGCUACUGAGUUUCCUAACGAGCUGUUUUGUUGUCCUGUUGUUUGUACUGUAUUUAUCUGUGGUCUCAAAUGUGUGGAUUAAAGUAUUUAAACUCAAUUUUUCCUGAUUCUCACUAUACAUAGAAGCGUAGUUCUGGGAUCUGCACGGGCCUGGUGGCGAAGAUGGCCGCCGCUCAGCUGUGUUACCACACGGCGCGAGGCAGAAGAGCGGCCUGAAGCCGCGCGGUGCAUCCCGGUCCUGUGGGGCCGUAGAGACGCGCAGGGCGGGGCUGCGUUCUGGAGGGCGCGCGCUGCCGCCGCUCCUCGCGCUGUGGGAGCGCCGCGUGCUGCUGAGCUGAGCGCGGGGAGACGCGCCGACCGCCCCCCUCCCACACGGCGCCGGUGCGUGUGGAGCCGCUGGCGGCGGGCGCGGGUCGCGCUGCGUGCUGCCUCAGCGACGCGUCCGUCACAGCUGUCGAAGAUGUAUGAUUAGAACUUAAGUGACACUUGGCAGGAAUGGAACUGCACAGAUGUUACCCGUGCCCCAAUCCAGGAGAUACUUCUGCUUAACUCGACACAGCUCCUUCAGCGAUGGGAAGCACAGGAACCAAGGCACCCAGCUCCCGGAUCCCAGUGCCUACCACAGACCGCCAGGACGCACUGCUCUGAAGGAUUCCUGUUCAGGUCAGGCUGUGAAAGGAGAUCAUGGAGAAGGAUCCAGUCUCCUCAGCAGCAAUUAUUUCAAUUUUCAUUACUUCUUUCAAAAAAAAUCAUUUUAUUGUGCAG
rnacentral:lncRNA from 1 species